rnacentral:rRNA from 1 species
UUGCGGUUAAAAAGCUCGUAGUUGGAUUUCUGUUGAGAACAGGCGGUCCACCUUUUGGGUGAGCAUCUGCAUUGGUCUCGGCAUCUUCUCGGAAUACGGUUCUGCGCUUGAUUGCGUGGAUCGGAGUUCGGGACUUUUACUUUGAGGAAAUUAGAGUGUUCACGGCAGGCAAUCGCCCUGAAUAUAUUAGCAUGGAAUAAUAAUAUAGGAUUUCA